AUUUAUCAUUAGCAUAUUAUUCAUGUAUAAUAAAUAUACAGCAAUGACAUGUACAAUGUGAUUUAUAUUUUUAUUAUUAUGUAUUUAUUAUAAUGUUUGUCUAUUAAAAAAAAUGAUUGAUUGAUUUAUUUAUCAUAUUAUCAUUUAAAUAUGUAAUAAUCGAAUAAUACCUAUAUAUAAAUUGAAUAAUACAUAUGCAUAAAUUGAAUAAUACAUAUACAUAAAUUGAAUAAUACAUAUAUAUAUAAAUUGAAUGAAAUAUAUACAUAAAUCGAAUAACAUAUAUAUAUAUAUAUAUAUAUAUAUAUAUAUAUAUAUAUAUUUAAAACAUUGUAUUGUGUUUUGUGAAAAACUUGUGCAUGUUGUCAUUGAUUAAGCGAUAAUUUUUUGUGUAUAUAUUUAAAACAUUGUAUUGUGGUUUGUGAAAAACUUGUGCAUGUUGUCAUUGAUUAAGUGAUAAUUUUUUGUGUAUAUAUUUAAAACAUUGUAUUGUGUUUUGUGAAAAACUUGUGCAUGUUGUCAUUGAUUAAGUGAUAAUUUUUUGUGCCUGUAUAACACAUAUUUUAAAACAAAAAAAAAAAAAUUUUUAAUAUUAUACACUUUUAUUUAAUAUAUUUAUAAAUUUAAAAGAAAAUACCAUUUAAGAAAAUGGCAGAAAGAGAUAUGUUGGGAUAUGAAAAUAGAUCACUGAGUUUAAGUGAUACGGACAAUGCCAGUAAUAACGAAUCCAUCUUACAAUCAUUUGGAGGAACUCAUAUAAGGUCACAUCUUAAUAAUACGAGUAGUGAUACAGAUGGCUCAUUAGCGCUAAAUUUUAUCGUAUACUUUGUAGUUUUCAUUGUUUGUUUGUAUAUUUUUCUUUUUUGUUUAAACGUGAUAAAAAAAAUUUUAGAUCAAGAGAGACGUCAUGGCUAUGGUAUGCAUGUUCUAUUUAAUAGACUCGCUGGACAAAACGGAGCCGGUGGGGUAAAUGUUCCACUACUCACAGAGAAUUUUUAUGAUCGUCAUAGAGGAUAAUAAAAUGAACAGUUCUAAUAAAUACAAUAAACAUAAUGAUGUAUGUAAUAAA
rnacentral:lncRNA from 1 species